rnacentral:rRNA from 1 species
UGGGGAAUUUUGGACAAUGGGGGAAACCCUGAUCCAGCCAUCCCGCGUGUGCGAUGAAGGCCUUCGGGUUGUAAAGCACUUUUGGCAGGAAAGAAACGUCGCGGGUUAAUACCCCGCGAAACUGACGGUACCUGCAGAAUAAGCACCGGCUAACUACGUGCCAGCAGCCGCGGUAAUACGUAGGGUGCAAGCGUUAAUCGGAAUUACUGGGCGUAAAGCGUGCGCAGGCGGUUCGGAAAGAAAGAUGUGAAAUCCCAGAGCUUAACUUUGGAACUGCAUUUUUAACUACCGGGCUAGAGUGUGUCAGAGGGAGGUGGAAUUCCGCGUGUAGCAGUGAAAUGCGUAGAUAUGCGGAGGAACACCGAUGGCGAAGGCAGCCUCCUGGGAUAACAUUGACGCUCAUGCACGAAAGCGUGGGGAGCAAACAGGAUUAGAUACCCUGGUAGUCCACGCCCUAAACGAUGUCAACUAGCUGUUGGGGCCUUCGGGCCUUGGUAGCGCAGCUAACGCGUGAAGUUGACCGCCUGGGGAGUACGGUCGCAAGAUUAAAACUCAAAUGAAUUGACGGGGUCAUAGCUGUUUCCU